rnacentral:rRNA from 1 species
UAAAGGGAGCGCAGGCGGGAAGACAAGUUGGAAGUGAAAUCUAUGGGCUCAACCCAUAAACUGCUUUCAAAACUGUUUUUCUUGAGUAGUGCAGAGGUAGGCGGAAUUCCCGGUGUAGCGGUGGAAUGCGUAGAUAUCGGGAGGAACACCAGUGGCGAAGGCGGCCUACUGGGCACCAACUGACGCUGAGGCUCGAAAGUGUGGGUAGCAAACAGGAUUAGAUACCCUGGUAGUCCACACCGUAAACGAUGAUUACUAGGUGUGGGAGGACUGACCCCUUCCGUGCCGCAGUUAACACAAUAAGUAUUCCACCUGGGGAGUACGACCGCAAGGUUGAAACUCAAAGGAAUUGACGGGGGCCCGCACAAGCAGUGGAGUAUGUGGUUUAAUUCGAAGCAACGCGAAGAACCUUACCUGGUCUUGACAUCCCGGUGACCGGCAUAGAGAUAUGCCUUUCCCUUCGGGGACAGCGGUGACAGGUGGUGCAUGGUUGUCGUCAGCUCGUGUCGUGAGAUGUUGGGUUAAGUCCCGCAACGAGCGCAACCCUUAUUGCCAGUUACUACGCAAGAGGACUCUGGCGAGACUGCCGUUGACAAAACGGAGGAAGGUGGGGAUGACGCCAAAUCAUCAUGCCCUUUAUGACCUGGGCUACACACGUACUACAAUGGCGUUUAACAAAGAGAAGCAAGACCGCGAGGUGGAGCAAAACUCAAAAACAACGUCUCAGUUCAGAUUGCAGGCUGCAACUCGCCUGCAUGAAGUCGGAAUUGCUAGUAAU